rnacentral:lncRNA from 1 species
UGGAGUGUGGUUGAUAUAAGCCAGUGUCACUCCAUUACAGAAAACUAAUUUUCCCUUUACCCAUGGGUGUCAAUUACAGAGAGCUUCUUGGUUAGGGGUGGGAAACUAUAACCAUUCCUUCCUCAAUUCUGGGACCAUGCAUAGCUUGAUCUAUGUAGCUCUUGUUUGUGCUGCCUGUUUCUGUGUUUUCACAUGAGCAUUCGUCUGUUUGUGUGUGAAAAACACUGUUUGCUUAGAGCCAUUCAUUGCCCCUGGCUCUUACAAUCUUUCUGCCUCCUCUUCUGCAUAGAUCCCUGAGCCUCGAGGGGAAGGAUUUGAUAAAGACAUUCCAUUUAGGGGGUUUUCUCUGUCCCCAUGGUGCUUUGUAUACUCAUUAAUUUAAAUUUGUGACCCAGGGAAGUUAUUCUGUACAAGUCUCAGUUUCCUCUCUGUAAAAUGAGACAAGGAUAACAAUGAGAGCCUUUGGAAGUCCAGUGUUCCCACUGUGAUGGAAGGACCAGCCUUAUUUUUCCAUGAAAAAGUGCACAGCAGAGGAAAAGCCAGCAUGAAAGUCUUCUUCAGCUGCCCUGGCUCUGCUAGCCAUUCAAGCCCACCUCAUUUGGUCCCAAAUAUCAAGCCAGAUUUGGCAUACCAUCUCUGAUAAAGGCUGAAGAUUUCAACUGCCAUAGAUGAGAAUGUCCAUUAUUAAUGAAUGACAAAGGUCAUGCAGACUGUUAGAGGUACCCUUCAAGGACUUCGGUCUUCUUGAAAAUCCCACAGACUGUGUAUGGAGAGAUCCUUUCCCACUCACCCUGUGUUCACUAAAUAUCUGCUAAAUGAACAUUUCAAAGCACAUUAAACCAGGAAGAUUAUAGAAUCAGAGGAUGUGGCAUGGGACUCUGACAAUAAAGCUGUUUAAACUGCACUUUCAGGAGGAGGGAAAAAAAAGACACACUGCUUGAUGGAAAUCAAAAUCAAUUUCCGAGUUUUUCACCACACAUACACAGAAAGAAAAGAACAUUUGGGACUGAGAGGGCAUCGAGCUUGUUUUAACUUUCCAUAGCUAGGAAGAUGCAGCUCCAGGAAGCCAGUCAUCUAAGACAGCCUGGCUCCAAGUCCAGACUAUUAACCACCACAUUUUUCCAAGUAACAAGUCAACAAAUGUCAAACAAUCCUUGUAAUGAUGAAUGUUGCAUCCUCACUAAGGAGAGGGAGCAAUCUCUAGUUCCAGGCCAAAGAAUCCACUUUGCUUUUCAUUGCAGAGGUCUUUGAAAUGGCAGUACACGAUAGCCACAGUGUACAGAAUGCCUGAAAACUGUGUUGAGUCAGCUAUGACUCUGCACUCAUUCUUUCCCACUACAU